rnacentral:lncRNA from 1 species
AAAUAAUCUAAUCAGUAGCUAUCCUUCUGCUGUCCUGAUUUGCACAAUCUCCCUUGAUCUUUAUCUUCCUUGUUUAGCCAGAUCUGCUCCUGAAAAUCAGCCGCCUGCAAACUCUGAUCAUCGAUAAACUCUGAUCCAGCUGGCAGUUGUUAAACUCUGAUUUCAGUUAAACUCUGAUAUUUGCUUCUGCACACUAAACAAGUUAGAUACCUGUGACAUCAUCAAAUAUGUAACA